rnacentral:rRNA from 1 species
AAUAGAUACCCUGGUAGUCCACGCCGUAAACGAUGAGUGCUAAGUGUUAGGGGGUUUCCGCCCCUUAGUGCUGCAACUAACGCAUUAAGCACUCCGCCUGGGGAGUACGGUCGCAAGACUGAAACUCAAAGGAAUUGACGGGGGCCCGCACAAGCGGUGGAGCAUGUGGUUUAAUUCGAAGCAACGCGAAGAACCUUACCAGGUCUUGACAUCCCGCUGACCGCUCUAGAGAUAGAGUUCUCCCUUCGGGGACAGCGGUGACAGGUGGUGCAUGGUUGUCGUCAGCUCGUGUCGUGAGAUGUUGGGUUAAGUCCCGCAACGAGCGCAACCCUUGAUCUUAGUUGCCAGCAUUUAGUUGGGCACUCUAAGGUGACUGCCGGUGAUAAACCGGAGGAAGGUGGGGAUGACGUCAAAUCAUCAUGCCCCUUAUGACCUGGGCUACACACGUGCUACAAUGGACGGUACAGAGGGUCGCAAACCCCGGCGAGGGUGAGCAAAAUCCCAUAAAAACCGUUCUCAGUUCGGAUUGUAGG